CCUACGGGAGGCAGCAGUGGGGGAUAUUGCACAAUGGGGGGAACCCUGAUGCAGCGACGCCGCGUGGGUGAAGAAGCGCCUCGGCGCGUAAAGCCCUGUCAGCAGGGAAGAAAAUGACGGUACCUGAAGAAGAAGCCCCGGCUAACUACGUGCCAGCAGACGCGGUAAUACGUAGGGGGCAAGCGUUAUCCGGAUUUACUGGGUGUAAAGGGGGCGCAGACGGGGAUGCAAGCCAGGAGUGAAAGCCCGGGGCCCAACCCCGGGACUGCUCUUGGAACUGCGUGGCUAGAGUGCAGGAGGGGCAGGCGGAAUGCCUGGUGUAGCGGUGAAAUGCGUAGAUAUCAGGAGGAACACCGGUGGCGAAGGCGGCCUGCUGGACUGCAACUGACGUUGAGGCCCGAAAGCGUGGGGAGCAAACAGGAUUAGAUACCCCAGUAGUC
rnacentral:rRNA from 1 species